CCCAAAUGAAAACUUGCAUACAUUUAAUUAUGUAUUUUUUUAUUCAGGUGUAAAUCUAGAAACUGCUUGUAAAAUCUGUAUUACUCUUGUCUGCUGCCUUUGCAAACCCUCCCUUUCUAACCCCACCCAGACUUUCUGUUGCUGUCCAAUCACAGACUUCCCAACGCAGCUCAAUGAGAAAUCUUUGCAAGGCAGGUGCUCUGGGCAAUUGCUGCCUCUUGUAAACAACCAGGAAGUAACAG